rnacentral:rRNA from 1 species
UACGUAGGGGGCAAGCGUUGUCCGGAUUUAUUGGGCGUAAAGAGCGUGUAGGCGGCCAUACAGGUCAGCUGUGAAAACUCGAGGCUCAACCUCGAGACGUCGGUUGAAACCGUAUGGCUAGAGUCCGGAAGAGGAGAGUGGAAUUCCCGGUGUAGCGGUGAAAUGCGCAGAUAUCGGGAAGAACACCCGUGGCGAAGGCGGCUCUCUGGGCCUGUACUGACGCUGAGGAGCGAAAGCGUGGGGAGCAAACAGG